rnacentral:rRNA from 1 species
ACGGGUUGAUAUUCCCGUACCCGUGUGCGUGCGACAAGUGAUGAAUCUUAUGGUACUAACCGCCCGCUUGUUUCUGCUGAUCUUUUUGGUUGGUGGUUGCAGGUGCGUGGGAUCUUCGUGGGUAGUAGUCAAGUGAUGGGGUGACGCAGAGUGGUAGCUAGGCUUCCUUAUUGGAUUGGAGUGCAAGCGUGUGGCCUGUGGGGUUGGGAAAUCCGCCCCGCAUUAAGGGUGAGGCGUGAUGCGGACACCAUGUUGUGGUGGUAGUUAGUGUGCCUGUGCUGUCUAGAAAAGCCUCUAGCGAGUGCGUGCAUGGCCCGUACCGGAAACCGACACAGGUGGUCAGGUAGAGAAUACUAAGGCGUUCGGGUGAACUGUGGUUAAGGAACUCGGCAAAAUGCCCCCGUAACUUCGGGAGAAGGGGGACCAUUACUAGUUGCUGACAGCGUGAUGGCUGGUGGUGGUCGCAGAGGAGAGAGGGAAGCGACUGUUUAUUAAAAACACAGGUCCGUGCGAAAACGUGGAAGUUGAGGUAUACGGACUGACGCCUGCCCGGUGCUGGAAGGUUAAGAGGACCCGUGAGCAUGCUUUUUUGGUGUGCGAGGCGGAGAAUUGAAGCCCCAGUAAACGGCGGUGGUAACUAUAACCAUCCUAAGGUAGCGAAAUUCCUUGUCGGGUAAGUUCCGACCUGCACGAAUGGCGUAACGACUUCCCUGCUGUCUCAACCACAGGCCCGGUGAAAUUGCAGUACGAGUAAAGAUGCUCGUUUCGCGCGGCAGGACGAAAAGACCCCGGGACCUUUACUAUAGCUUGGUAUUGGUGUUUGGUCAUGCUUGUGUAGGAUAGGUGGGAGACUGUGAAACCGCAACGCUAGUUGUGGUGGAGUCGCAGGUGAAAUACCACUCUGGUGUGAUUGGGUACCUGAACCUUGGCCCGUGAUCCGGGUUGGGGACAGUGCCUGGUGGGUAGUUUAACUGGGGCGGUUGCCUCCUAAAUGGUAACGGAGGCGCCCAAAGGUUUCCUCAGUCUGGUUGGCAAUCAGAUGGUGAGUGUAAGUGUAUAAGGGAGCUUGACUGUGACACUGACGGGUGGAGCAGGUGCGAAAGCAGGGACUAGUGAUCCGGCAUCUACGUGUGGUUGUGGUGUCGCUCAACGGAUAAAAGGUACCCCGGGGAUAACAGGCUGAUCUUCCCCAAGAGUUCAUAUCGACGGGAUGGUUUGGCACCUCGAUGUCGGCUCGUCGCAUCCUGGGGCUGGAGUAGGUCCCAAGGGUUGGGCUGUUCGCCCAUUAAAGCGGCACGCGAGCUGGGUUUAGAACGUCGUGAGACAGUUCGGUCUCUAUCCGCCGCGCGCGUUGAAACUUGAAGAAGGCUGUCCCUAGUACGAGAGGACCGGGAUGGACGUACCUCUGGUAUGCCAGUUGUCACGCCAGUGGCAUGGCUGGUUAGCUACGUGCGGGAGGGAUAACCGCUGAAAGCAUCUAAGCGGGAAGCCUGUUUUGAGAUGAGGUUUCUGUUGAGGUUCCCUAUAGAUGAUGGGGUUGAUAGGCCAGGGCUGUGAGCAUGGUGACGUGUUGGAGGUGACUGGUACUAAUACACCGACACAAAAAACC